rnacentral:rRNA from 1 species
AGCAGCCGCGGUAAUUCCAGCUCCAAUAGCGUAUAUUAAAGUUGUUGCAGUUAAAAAGCUCGUAGUUGAAUUUUGGGUUUGGCCGAUUGGUCCGUUCUUGUAACGAGUACUGGUCGGUUGGGCCUCACCGCCUGGUGAUGCGUAAUGCCCUUUAUUGGGUGUUGCGAGUAGUCAGGACCUUUACCUUGAAAAAAUUAGAGUGUUUAAAGCAGGCUUAUGCCGGAAUACAUUAGCAUGGAAUAAUAGAAUAGGACGAUGAUUCUAUUUUGUUGGUUUCUAGGAGCAUCGUAAUGAUUAAUAGGGAUAGUUGGGGGCAUUAGUAUUCAAUUGUCAGAGGUGAAAUUCUUGGAUUUAUUGAAGACUAACUACUGCGAAAGCAUUUGCCAAGGAUGUUUUCAUUAAUCAAGAACGAAAGUUAGGGGAUCGAAGACGAUCAGAUACCGUCGUAGUCUUAACCAUAAACUAUGCCGACUAGGGAUCGGGCGAUGUUGUUUCAAUGACUCGCUCGGCACCUUAUG